AUGGCCCGGAAGCAGCGACUCAAGGCCACGACGGCAGCUCAAGGCAUUGCCGUGGUAGUAGAGAGUCAACAACAAACCGAUGGGUGGAGAGCCGUGAACCGGCGAUGCCGGAGGUGCCUCGAUACAGCAGCGGUGGGUCAACCAAACUUGACGCGUGUCCGCAAUGGCAGGGCCGUAGAUGGUGACCCGGUGAAGCAAUGUUGGUCUGCGGCGGCGACUCAUGGAGGUAGAAACAGCCGGCGCGGCUGGCAACUUGCGAGGCGACGUUUUGUUUUGGACGCAAUCGGCGACGACGGCUUGAUGUCAUACCCGCGGAGCGCGCCGGCAAGGGCAACUCAGGCUUGGCCGGUUCGUCGAGGCCGUGGUGGUGCAGGCGCUCAGAAGCGGAAUAGGCAAAGGGUGCAAGGCCAGACUCGGCCAAGUGCAGCGGCAAGGUUGAGCACCCGGUCCGGCAUCUUAGAGAGCAGGCGGCGGCUCAUGGUAGCGGCAGUCCACGGCAGAGGUGACUCGACGGCGGAAAGGCCAAAACGGAAGUUUAGGCACACCGGCGAGGACGACCAAGAUGGGGCGCCGGAGCGAGGCGCCGAGAGCCGGCGGGGGUUCGGAGUCGGUGUAGGCCGCGGCGGUAGGGGCAAUAGAGGCGCAGAGGCGGCUUAG
rnacentral:rRNA from 1 species